rnacentral:rRNA from 1 species
UAGGGAAUCUUCGGCAAUGGGGGCAACCCUGACCGAGCAACGCCGCGUGAGUGAAGAAGGUUUUCGGAUCGUAAAGCUCUGUUGUAAGAGAAGAACGUGUGUGAGAGUGGAAAGAUCACACAGUGACGGUAACUUACCAGAAAGGGCCGGCUAACUACGUGCCAGCAGCCGCGGUAAUACGUAGGUCCCGAGCGUUGUCCGGAUUUAUUGGGCGUAAAGCGAGCGCAGGCGGUUUAAUAAGUCUGAAGUUAAAGGCAGUGGCUUAACCAUUGUUCGCUUUGGAAACUGUUAGACUUGAGUGCAGGAGAGGAGAGUGGAAUUCCAGGUGUAGCGGUGAAAUGCGUAGAUAUAUGGAGGAACACCGGUGGCGAAGGCGGCUCUCUGGUCUGUAACUGACGCUGAGGCGCGAAAGCGAGGGGAGCAAACAGG